rnacentral:lncRNA from 1 species
GCCAACUCGUUCCAGUUAUAAAAAUAUCUUGCUUCCUUUAAGUAUGUUAAAUUUCUGAUAGUUCGUAUCCAGUCGUCCUGGUGAAGUGGUAUGUGUCGUGGCUUGAUAUGCUAAAGGUCUUGAGAUCGAAUCCCAGCAUAUACACUGGAUUUUUUCUACGUGAAUUUUGAUAGAUAGUCUUCUCCGUAAAAUUAAUUAUAAGUUUUAUACUGGAUUUGACUUUCCCGCCAAAAUGUUACAGAACAAAGGAAAGCAUGCAUAACAAAGAAACUUAAACUGGGGUGAUCUGGUAGGGGUGAUCCGGCUCAGAUCACCCCUGUUAGAACAAAGGAGC